rnacentral:rRNA from 1 species
UAAAGCAAGAAAGGGCGUAUGGGGAAUGCCUAGGCACACUCCGGCGAAGAAGGACGCAGCAAACAGCGAAAUGCGACGGUGAGCGGUAAGCACGUGAAGAGCCGUCGAUAUCCGAAUGGGGGAACCCACACGGAGUCAUAUCCGUGUAUCACAUGUCGAAUACAUAGACAUGAUGAGGCGAGACGCAGGGAACUGAAACAUCUAAGUACCUGCAGGAAGAGAAAAUAAGAAUGAUUUUCUGAGUAGCGGCGAGCGAAAGGGAAAGAGCCCAAACCGAUUUUAGGAUCGGGGUAGUAGGAUCAUCGAGGAAUCUGACAGAGGAUCAUAGAGGAAUCACAUGGGAAGGUGAGCGAGAGAGGGUGAGAGCCCCGUACUCGAAAUGAGAGACUGGAGAGAGAUGACACCUGAGUAGGGCGGGACACGAGAAAUCCUGUCUGAAUCAGCCGGGACCAUCCGGCAAGGCUAAAUACGAGAGAGUGACCGAUAGUGAACCAGUACCGUGAGGGAAAGGUGAAAAGAACCCCGGGAGGGGAGUGAAAGAGAACCUGAAACCAUAUGCCUACAAGAAGUCAGAGCCCGUUAAAGGGUGAUGGCGUGCCUUUUGUAGAAUGAACCGGCGAGUUACUGUAUGGAGCGAGGUUAAGCAGGAUAUGCGGAGCCGAAGCGAAAGCGAGUCUUAAGAGGGCGCGAGUUGCAUGCAGUAGACCCGAAACCGGGUGAUCUAGCCAUGACCAGGUUGAAGUUGGGGUAAAACCCGAUGGAGGACCGAACCGACCCCCGUUGAAACGUUGGCGGAUGAGUUGUGGCUAGGGGUGAAAUUCCAAUCGAACCCGGAGAUAGCUGGUUCUCCCCGAAAUAGCUUUAGGGCUAGCGUCGAGAGAAGAGUUGCGUGAAGGUAGAGCACUGAAUAUGUGAUGGCCCCAUCUCGGGGUACUGAGCAUAAUCAAACUGCGAAUGUCACGCCAACAUGCUCGGCAGUCAGACAGCGGGUGAUAAGGUCCGUUGUCAAGAGGGAAACAGCCCAGACCAUCAGCUAAGGUCCCAAAAUGUAUGCUAAGUGGAAAAGGAUGUGGAGAUGUACAGACAACUAGGAGGUUGGCUCAGAAGCAGCCAUCCUUGAAAGAGUGCGUAACAGCUCACUAGUCGAAUGACUCUGCGCCGAUAAUUUACCGGGGCUAAGCAUACUACCGAAGCUAUGGAUCCCCAGGGAUGGCAGGGGAGCGUUCCAUGAACGGAGAAGUACGACCGAAAGGACGUGUGGAGAUCAUGGAAGAGAGAAUGCCGGUGUGAGUAGCGGAACGUGGGUGAGAAUCCCACGCACCGAAAACCCAAGGUUUCCAGAGGAAGGUUCGUCCGCUCUGGGUAAGUCGGGACCUAAGGCGAGGCCGAAAGGCGUAGUCGAUGGACAACAGGUAGAGAUUCCUGUACCCGUAUAUAUGUGAAGGAAUGACGGAGAGAGGAAGCUGCAGCCAGCGGCUGGAAGAGCUGGUGCAAGCGAGAUAUCGGGAUGGCAGGCAAAUCCACCAUCCGAAACGAGAAGGCGUGAAGCGUACGGAAAGCUACGGCGAGUACGGAAGGCAGUGGAGGAACUUCCAAGAAAAGUUUCUAACGUUAAGUAUAUAUGGCCCGUACCGAAAAUGGACACACAUGGGUGAGGAGAGAAUCCUAAGGUGAGCGAGAGAACUAUAGCUAAGGAACUCUGCAAAAUGACUCCGUAACUUAGGGAGAAGGAGUGCUCAUAGAGAUAUGAGCCGCAGUGAAACGGCCCAAGCGACUGUUUACCAAAAACACAGCUCUCUGCUAAGCCGCAAGGCGAAGUAUAGGGGGUGACGCCUGCCCGGUGCUGGAAGGUUAAGGGGAGGGGUUAACGCAAGUGAAGCCCUGAACUGAAGCCCCAGUAAACGGCGGCCGUAACUAUAACGGUCCUAAGGUAGCGAAAUUCCUUGUCAGGUAAGUUCUGACCCG